rnacentral:lncRNA from 1 species
AUGGCGACCGAUGCGUCCCGCGCUCUAGGCGAAGACCGCGGCCCCGUCCCCGCGCCUCCACCGCCUUCUUCCAGGAGGAGGGGCCGUGCGGCGCCUGCCCGGGGGCCCUCAGGCCGCAGGCGGGCGCGAGCUUCAGGGAACUUAGGGGGCUCCCGCCUCCCCGGCCACGCGAGCGGGAACAGUCUCCUCCACUCGGAGCGGCGCCAUCUUCAGCUCUGAGUCACCAGGGCUGGAAAAAUACUAGAUGCGCUACUCGUGGACUCGUGAAUACACUCGUGAAUACAGGCCAUUUCCUGUACCUACAGCCACCCGCUAUUAUAGAUCCAGACUCCUGUGCCUGACCACUGCCCAUGGCCAACUCUCUGCUGAUGACUGGACUUGACUACACAAGUUGUUGGCCAUCUUAAAACCACUCAAAGUUGACGGUCUCCUCUCCUGCCUCCUGCGGCUUCCAUUACCAUGGCAGAGACUGUGGUGUCUGAGGUGGUGUAGCGUACUGAAGCAAGGCUGUCUUGAAGAAGAGGAGACAACUCACAAUUCUACCACCUUUGUUGACCUCUUCUUCCCCCCAACUUAUUGCUGUAGAGGCUACCUGAGCUCAUUGUCCCUGGAGAUGGACCAAAUAGAAGAAUAAGCAGUGCCUGUGUGCUGAAGGUAAAGAAAUUUCAUGUGGUGGAUUCCUACAAAAGAAAAAGCUGCAAAAGAGUCAACCAGGAAAGGUGCUAGACACACAUCCAAUGGCUGCUGAGUGAUGAAUGAGAAAGAAACCUUCGGUGUAGUAAGCCAUUGAAAUUUGGGGGAAAUUUGUAAUAGCUGUUGCUGUAAACCUCCGCACUGCAAAACACACACAUCCUAGAUAAUUAAAAGACAACUUCUACCAGA